rnacentral:rRNA from 1 species
UUUCGCCUACGGGGGGCAGCAGUGGGGAAUAUUGCACAAUGGGGGAAACCCUGAUGCAGCGACGCCGCGUGAGUGAAGAAGUAUCUCGGUACGUAAAGCUCUAUCAGCAGGGAAGAAAAAAAGUCUUUGGCUUUGGACGGUACCUGACUAAGAAGCCCCGGCUAACUACGUGCCAGCAGCCGCGGUAAUACGUAGGGGGCAAGCGUUAUCCGGAUUUACUGGGUGUAAAGGGAGCGUAGACGGCUGUGCAAGUCUGAAGUGAAAGCCCAGGGCUCAACCCUGGGACUGCUUUGGAAACUGUGGAG